rnacentral:rRNA from 1 species
AUCCCUGGCUCACAAGUUCGCAGUAAGAACUCGGCAAGGUGCUUAUAAAUCUCUAGGAGAAAGUUAAGCAGGGUCAGUCCUAGUUAGUAUUUGGAUGGGAGACUGCCUGGGAAUACCCAGUGCUAAGGCUU